rnacentral:piRNA from 1 species
UUGAUGAAUUUUUCUCGUUUUCCGUCUGACC